rnacentral:rRNA from 1 species
UACGUAGGUGGCAAGCGUUGUCCGGAUUUAUUGGGUUUAAAGGGUGCGUAGGCGGCCUUAUAAGUCAGUGCUGAAAUACUCUAGCUUAACUAGAGGGGUGGCAUUGAUACUGUAGGGCUUGAGUAUAGUCGAGGUAGGCGGAAUUGACGGUGUAGCGGUGAAAUGCUUAGAUAUCGUCAAGAACACCGAUAGUGUAGACAGCUUACUAGGCUAUAACUGACGCUGAGGCACGAAAGUGUGGGGAUCAAACAGGAUUAGAUACCCUGGUAGUCCACACUGUAAACGUUGAUUACUCGCUGUUGGCGAUACACAGUCAGCGGCUUAGCGCAAGCGAUAAGUAAUCCACCUGGGGAGUACGCCGGCAACGGUGAA